GUCCUUGUAGCUCAACUGGAUAGAGCGUCGCCCUCCGAAGGCGAAGGUUGUGUGUUCGACCCGCACCAAGGACG
rnacentral:tRNA from 1 species